AGUAAAGUGAGAGAAGAGAAGAAGAGGUGGUGUGUGUGACUCCUCUGUUCAGGAUAUACCGAGCAUCACUUUACUUCUACCCAAACAGCCCACGACAGAGGGAGAGGAGGACUAGUCCCAAGAGAGGAGGAAAAAGAAAAACAGAUAAUCAGAGGGCAGGUGUAAAAUAGUGAUAUAAGGAAUACAUGCUCUUGGUUGGUGCAGUGGAUUAACUGGCUAUUCUGUUAUCCUGCACAAUGAGUGGAAGAUGAGUCACUGAGAAGAGCCCCCUGGGACAAUGCUAAGCGGACAGGAAGGGCCAGCCUGUAUAUUCGGG
rnacentral:lncRNA from 1 species